AAUCACAGUCCCUCUAUCACCGGUCUCGAAACGCCUAUUGUCUUAGGGGGGGAUUAGCAAUAAACAUCCAGUGAGUGCGUGUAGCGGUUGUUGGCGUCGCAUAGUCACUUGACAGUAUAGCGUCGCUUUCCAUUUUGAAAACGUAUGAUCAAGUGCUCCGUAUUUUAUUCCUUGCUCUUAGCUGUAACAUUUCAUAUAUUUAACAACUUUUUGUUAUUACCGAAGCGAAAUACCAUUAGUUAACAGACGAGAACGUGCAGCUGUUGAAGCCAUACAAGCUCUUAACAACCAUGCCUCGUAAGAAGAACAGUUUUCGGAGGCCCAAGAGUUACUACAAGCAAUUUGAAAAAAAAGUCCAGUGAAUGUGAUGACUUUUCACAAUCGCAUGUUACCAUUGCUAAUGAUGCUACAAUGCAACAGAUAAGAAUUAAAUGUGGAAGUUAUUAUAUUCUCAAAGUGCUGGAAAUGCUAUGUGUCUUAGUAAACAAACGGUUGAUGAAUUGAAAAUGACCGUGCAUUCUUUUGUAGAAGUAUCUAAAUAUCUACUAAACCAUGGAGUGGAUUUUAUAUUGAGUGAGAGGUUCCGUCAAGACCCACUACAAGCCCACUUCAGUAAGCAUCGGCACAGAGGAGGAGCAAAUAACAACCCAACAGUUAUGGCUUUUGGGUAUCAAGAGAAUGUCAUCAGACUUCAAAAAUCUUAUCAUAUGCAGUGCAUCACAGGCAAUACAGGGAGACACAAGAGACACAAGAGAAGGCCCUUACAGCAUAUAGUAGAUGAUACUUCUCUUC